rnacentral:rRNA from 1 species
AUAGCGUAUAUUAAAGUUGUUGCAGUUAAAAAGCUCGUAGUUGGAUCUCGGGUCCAGGCUCGCGGUUCGUUUUGCGACGAUACUGCCCGUCCUGACCUACCUCCCGGUUUUCCCCCGGUGCUCUUCGCUGAGUGCCUCGGGUGGCCGGAACGUUUACUUUGAAAAAAUUAGAGUGCUCAAAGCAGGCAGUUUGCCUGAAUAACCGCGCAUGGAAUAAUGGAAUAGGACCUCGGUUCUAUUUUGUUGGUUUUCGGAGCUCGAGGUAAUGAUUAAGAGGGACAGACGGGGGCAUUAGUAUUGCGACGUUAGAGGUGAAAUUCUUGGAUCGUCGCAAGACUAACUACUG